rnacentral:rRNA from 1 species
AUGUUCAUGAGGCGCCAGGCGACAAUACUGCUGCUGCACCGUCAACUGCUCCCACUAACUCUGAUAGGCAUCCGUACAUCGGGGAGUGACGAGUCAGUAUCUGCCAGGACAGCUGAAAUAUUGCCAACUCUUCUGGCAAUGAAGGAUGCUGCUGUGAGCCAUGCCACCCCAUCAGCAAGUGUUGAAGUGGACGCUCCCGAGACCAACCUAAGCAAGGAAUAUUCCCGCUCAUCUGACACUGAUUCCAAGUGUGUGCGUGGUGGCACUCCUGUGUCCACGACAGAAGCGGCUGAGGCGGCAGUUCACAAUGAUAUGCCAUCUACAGGUGAGAGUCUUGGCACAACAGGUCCAGCUCCUAUCGGUGCAGAUACUUCUAAGGCGACCGUUUCGCGUGCUAGUCUUCCACCUAGGCGUCAUAGCCCCCGCAAGCAAUCAACAUACAUACCCAAUGCACCGCCUGUUGCUAGGAGCAGUAGAGACGAGUCUGGUUAUGUCCCUGCGUCCAUACUGUUUCCCCCACCUGCCACAAGCAAUACGAUGGAGAAACCGGAAGACCGGAGCACAACUGAUGCAGGUGUCAAGCCGGGCACGAGUGACGCAGGUGAACGUCCGGAGCAGAGUACGCCUUUACCCGCAAUGGAAAUCCCCAACUUAAAUCUGUGCACUUCCAAGCUCCCAGUCAAUGUGGGUGUCCCAUACAGCCCAAACAAGAGGAUUGUCAAGAAAGCUGCGACUGAUACCGCUGACAAUACGCCCCGCCCUACAAAUAAGCCCGAUCAUUCUGUAGCGGCCGAUUCGGAUAUGUUUGUUGAUCUUUCACCCUUGGAUUCUGCCUCAUAA